ACGCUGGCGGCAGGCCUAACACAUGCAAGUCGAGCGGUAGAGAGAAGCUUGCUUCUCUUGAGAGCGGCGGACGGGUGAGUAAUGCCUAGGAAUCUGCCUGGUAGUGGGGGAUAACGUUCGGAAACGGACGCUAAUACCGCAUACGUCCUACGGGAGAAAGCAGGGGACCUUCGGGCCUUGCGCUAUCAGAUGAGCCUAGGUCGGAUUAGCUAGUUGGUGAGGUAAUGGCUCACCAAGGCGACGAUCCGUAACUGGUCUGAGAGGAUGAUCAGUCACACUGGAACUGAGACACGGUCCAGACUCCUACGGGAGGCAGCAGUGGGGAAUAUUGGACAAUGGGCGAAAGCCUGAUCCAGCCAUGCCGCGUGUGUGAAGAAGGUCUUCGGAUUGUAAAGCACUUUAAGUUGGGAGGAAGGGUUGUAGAUUAAUACUCUGCAAUUUUGACGUUACCGACAGAAUAAGCACCGGCUAACUCUGUGCCAGCAGCCGCGGUAAUACAGAGGGUGCAAGCGUUAAUCGGAAUUACUGGGCGUAGAGCGCGCGUAGGUGGUUUGUUAAGUUGGAUGUGAAAUCCCCGGGCUCAACCUGGGAACUGCAUUCAAACUGACUGACUAGAGUAUGG
rnacentral:rRNA from 1 species